rnacentral:rRNA from 1 species
CCCUUAGAUGCUCUGGGCCGCACGCGCGCUACACUGGUCGAUGCAACGAGUUUCUUUCCUUGGCCGACAGGCCUGGGCAAUCUUUGAACAUCGAUCGUGAUCGGGAUAGAUUCUUGUAAUUUUUGAUCUUAAACGAGGAAUUCCUAGUAAACGCAAGUCAUCAGCUUGCAUUGAUUAUGUCCCUGCCCUUUGUACACACCGCCCGUCGCACCUACCGAUUGAAUGGUCCGGUGAAAUCUCCGGACUGGCGUGAGUCGGAGCAAUCUGACAAACACCGGAAAGUUGAUUAAACCUUACCAUUUAGAGGAAGGUGAAGUCGUAACA